rnacentral:rRNA from 1 species
AUUGAACGCUGGCGGCAUGCCUUACACAUGCAAGUCGAACGGCAGCACGGGUGCUUGCACCUGGUGGCGAGUGGCGAACGGGUGAGUAAUACAUCGGAACAUGUCCUGUAGUGGGGGAUAGCCCGGCGAAAGCCGGAUUAAUACCGCAUACGAUCUACGGAUGAAAGCGGGGGACCUUCGGGCCUCGCGCUAUAGGGUUGGCCGAUGGCUGAUUAGCUAGUUGGUGGGGUAAAGGCCUACCAAGGCGACGAUCAGUAGCUGGUCUGAGAGGACGACCAGCCACACUGGGACUGAGACACGGCCCAGACUCCUACGGGAGGCAGCAGUGGGGAAUUUUGGACAAUGGGCGAAAGCCUGAUCCAGCAAUGCCGCGUGUGUGAAGAAGGCCUUCGGGUUGUAAAGCACUUUUGUCCGGAAAGAAAUCCUUGGCUCUAAUACAGUCGGGGGAUGACG